rnacentral:lncRNA from 1 species
GUCCCCUUAUCAUCCCCUAGAUGAGAUGAUUCCUAUCAAAUUAGAUCAUAGGCUGAUCAUCAAAAUAAUUGACUUCACAACCAAAGAUGCCAAGUAUGCUCUUCUUAGGAGAAACAAAGAUUUUAGUUUAGGGUGAGGAUUCCAUGUGACUCAGACAGCAGCAUUAUAUUGCUCCCCUCAAAUGAAUCAUGCCAUUAGACGUGCUUCUAGCGUCAACCAAUGCAAGCUUGUUGCCAGCUCU